GACUUGUCUAGGGGAGAGCCUGUAGGUACUCCAUUGUCUGACGGAUCUGAGAACGCUGUCUGGGCUUCGUGCCAAGGGCUGGUAUUCACACAGCAACGACGGCCUCACAGAAGAGCUGUGGGAAGCAGGAGGGCGAGCCUCUCUUAGGGUGCCACUACUAUGGAGACACAGCUGGGCUGAACAAGAUUUGCUUCAAACGACAACAAGAGAGACAGAAAGUAUCUGAUUCAACCGCUGCCCAAGCAGGCAGGCACCAGAAGAGCUAGCAGCCAAUCCGGCCAUGCUCGAAGCCAGUCCUGCAGCUCAGCCAAUCAGUGACAUCAUUGGACAUCUCUUCAGAUUGCUCAUCAUGAUAUGAAGAUGAAACUUAAUAGCAAUAACCAAUGGAUGCUUUUCUUGGAUUCAGUCCAACACUCUGGAGACCAGAUCUUCAGGAAUGUAACUGGGAUAAUUGUCCAAAUUGAAUCCCAUACCCUGUCAUGGGAAUCUUGAGGAACCCAUUAAUGUAAAGCUGCGGCCAGAGUUCCAUGAGGAGGCAGAAUGUUCUAGAUGAUCCCUGUCUCUUCUCCAUUGAGGAAGUCGUUUCUUGCCUCUCUGUAAGCUCAGUUAAUGUAAGUAGAUUCUGGUUGUAACAGGAAAUGAAAAAAAAAAA
rnacentral:lncRNA from 1 species